CAAGGGAAAAAUAGAAAAAUGGGUUCCAUGGGAGUAGUGGGUGAAGAGGUUCAGCCAAGAAGUUACUGGAGAUGGAGCAAACAAGAUUUCCUACCAGAAGAAUCCUUUCAAAGUUGGAGCACAUAUCGGACCGCCCUGUCACAAACAGGCUACAGGUUCAAGAACCGUCUCAUAAGCAGAUCAGAUGAUAACAAUGAGAUUGGGGAACUUCCAAAGCGAAGUGAAAAUGACAUGAAGCGUUGCCUCACAUGGUGGGAUCUCAUCUGGUUUGGAUUUGGUUCAGUAAUUGGUGCAGGUAUCUUUGUGCUUACUGGGCAAGAAACUCAUGACCAUGCUGGACCAGCUAUUGUCUUGUCCUAUGUUGCUUCCGGUGUCUCGGCAAUGCUCUCUGUCUUCUGCUACACAGAAUUUUCAGUGGAAGUCCCUGUGGCAGGUGGAGCUUUUGCUUACCUGCGGAUAGAAUUAGGAGACUUUAUAGCAUUCAUAACAGCAGGAAACAUACUUCUUGAGGGCUUUGUCGGAAGUGCAGCAGUUGCUAGAUCAUGGACUUCUUACUUCACAUCACUCUUGAAUCGUCCCUCCAACUCAUUACGCAUCCAUACAAAUCUGACGGAGGGGUACAAUCUACUUGACCCAAUAGCUGUUGCUGUUCUGACAAUAGCUGCAACAAUUGCAAUGAUCAGCACAAGGAAGACCUCUUACUUAAACUGGAUAGCAUCUAUAGUCAAUAAUGUUGUAAUUCUGUUUGUGAUAAUUGCAGCAUUUAUCCAUGCCAACCCAUCAAAUAUGAAACCCUUUUUUCCGUUUGGGGCUAAAGGAGUCUUUCAAGCAGCUGCAAUUGUUUACUUUGCUUAUGGAGGAUUUGACAAUAUCGCCACCAUGGCUGAAGAAACCAAAAAUCCAUCCAGAGACAUACCGAUAGGAUUAAUUGGAUCAAUGUCAAUCAUCACUGUCAUAUAUUGUUUAAUGGCAGUUUCACUGCCUAUGAUGCAGAAAUACACAGAUAUAGACCCAAAUGCAGCCUACUCUGUAGCAUUUCAAAGUGUGGGCAUGACAUGGGCCAAAUACCUGGUAGCCCUAGGUGCCCUGAAGGGAAUGACCACUGUUCUUCUGGUCGGGACACUUGGACAGGCACGGUAUAUCACUCAUAUUGCACAAGCCCACAUGAUACCACCAUGGUUUGCUCUUGUCCAUCCAAAGACAGGAACCCCCAUAAAUGCUAGUCUUGAUUAUCAUUCCAAGUGGUUGUAUUGCUUUGUUUUCGAGCUUGGAUGUCUUGGCAGGUCUGUUAUCAGUGAGCACACUCUUUAUCUUCAUGAUGAUGGCUGUCGCACUUCUAGUGAGGAGGUACUACGUGAGAGAAAUCACCCCACAACAUCAUCUUUUGAAGCUAGUCAUUUCUUGCUGAUCAUCAUUGCUUCUUCCAUGACUUCGGCUUACUGGGGACUAAAUCCCAAUGGUUGGGUUGGUUAUGUCGUGACAGUUCCUCUCUGGUUCUUUGGGACUUUGGCAAUGGCAGUAUUUUUACCCCAACAGAGGUCACCAAAAGUUUGGGGGGUUCCACUGGUUCCUUGGUUGCCAUCCUUGUCAAUUGCAACAAACAUUUUUCUUAUGGGCUCUCUGGGUCAUAAAGCUUUUGAAAGAUUUGGAAUCUGCACCGUAGUAAUGCUUAUUUACUAUGUCUUCUUUGGUCUGCAUGCAACUUAUGAUAUGGCCCAUAAGCAAGACCAGCCAGAAUCCCUGAAAGUCGAUGACAGCAACAUCAGAGAGAAGGCAGAGCCUUGAAAUCACAGUCUUCUCAGCAAAUAAAGUGAGUACAAAAUGUAUUAUCUAAUUUACUUUUCAAGCACAUUUCACAACUCACCUAAACAAAUGUCACUAAAUUGCACAUGGAUCCUG